GUAACUAUUAAGUUUUUCAGACGCUGAUUGCAACUGCAAAGGGUUUAUUUUUGUCCAAUCGGUGGGCGAACCCACCGAGGAAACGUAAGUACUCAAAAGACAUGGGUAAGAGAAGGUAGGCAAAGCCUACAACUCUAGGUAAUGAUCCUUCCGCAGGUUCACCUACGGAAA
rnacentral:misc_RNA from 1 species